AUUGAACGCUGGCGGCAGGCCUAACACAUGCAAGUCGAACGAGUGGCGGACGGGUGAGUAAUGUCUGGGAAACUGCCUGAUGGAGGGGGAUAACUACUGGAAACGGUAGCUAAUACCGCAUACCAUCGGAUGUGCCCAGAUGGGAUUAGCUAGUAGGUGGGGUAAAGGCUAACCUAGGCGACGAUCCCUCGCUGGUCUGAGAGGAUGAACAGCCACAAUGGAACUUAGACACGGGCCAAACUCCUACGGGAGGAGGCAGUGGGUAAUAUUGCACAAUGGGCGCAAGCCUGAUGCAGCCAUGCCGCGUGUAUUAAGAAGUCCUUCGGGUUGUAAAGUACUUUCAGCGGGGAGGCGUUACCCGCAGAAGAAGCACCGGCUAACUCCGUGCCAGCAGCCGCGGUAAUUC
rnacentral:rRNA from 1 species